UCCGAUAUAGUGUAACGGCUAACAUACCUCGUUUUCACCGAGGAGCUCGGGGUUCGAUUCCCCGUAUCGGAG
rnacentral:tRNA from 6 species